AUUGAACGCUGGCGGCAUGCUUUACACAUGCGAGUCGAACGGCAGCGCGGGCUUCGGCCUGGCGGCGAGUGGCGAACGGGUGAGUAAUGCAUCGGAACGUGCCCAGUAGUGGGGGAUAGCCCGGCGAAAGCCGGAUUAAUACCGCAUACGACCUGUGGGUGAAAGCGGGGGACCGAAAGGCCUCGCGCUAUUGGAGCGGCCGAUGUCGGAUUAGCUAGUUGGUGGGGUAAAGGCUUACCAAGGCGACGAUCCGUAGCUGGUCUGAGAGGACGACCAGCCACACUGGGACUGAGACACGGCCCAGACUCCUACGGGAGGCAGCAGUGGGGAAUUUUGGACAAUGGGGGCAACCCUGAUCCAGCCAUGCCGCGUGCGGGAAGAAGGCCUUCGGGUUGUAAACCGCUUUUGUUCGGGAAGAAAUCCUCUGGGCUAAUACCCCGGGGGGAUGACGGUACCGGAAGAAUAAGCACCGGCUAACUACGUG
rnacentral:rRNA from 1 species